AUUGAACGCUGGCGGCAUGCCUUACACAUGCAAGUCGAACGGCAGCGGGGGAGAAGCUUGCUUUUCCUGCCGGCGAGUGGCGAACGGGUGAGUAAUACAUCGGAACGUGCCCCGUAGUGGGGGAUAACUAGUCGAAAGAUUAGCUAAUACCGCAUACGACCUGAGGGUGAAAGUGGGGGACCGCAAGGCCUCAUGCUAUAGGAGCGGCCGAUGUCUGAUUAGCUAGUUGGUGGGGUAAAGGCCUACCAAGGCGACGAUCAGUAGCUGGUCUGGGAGGACGAUCAGCAACACUGGGACUGAGACACGGCCCAGACUCCUACGGGAGGCAGCAGUGGGGAAUUUUGGACAAUGGGCGAAAGCCUGAUCCAGCAAUGCCGCGUGUGUGAAGAAGGCCUUCGGGUUGUAAAGCACUUUUGUCCGGAAAGAAAUGGCUCUGGUUAAUACCUGGGGUCGAUGACGGUACCGGAAGAAUAAGGACCGGCUAACUACGUGCCAGCAGCCGCCGUAA
rnacentral:rRNA from 1 species